ACACUCUCUGUUUCUCAUCCCCAGAUUCCCCACACACCUCCACACCCAACGGCACUCUCCACACCCGAAACCCCUCACGGAUGAAACCCCCUUCUCAGUUCUCUCUGCCUCUCCCAUGGAAACGACGAACUGAAGACGAUCACUCUGAAUCUUGAAGGAAUCUGGAUGGGGAGGAAAAGAGAAGAAGAAGAAGACGACGACGACUACGCAGCCAAUAUUUUUAGGGACUCGAUUCUGACUUUUCACUCUAUGUCGCCGAAUCCGUGGGUUUCUAUGUAUUUCCUCCUCUCCGUAAAAAACACAGCCAGAUCAACCUUGCUUUCCUCUUCGGCCAAUCAACUGUACAUCGCCUCCCUCCUCCGCCAUAGCUGCAGAAGUGCUCGCUACCUCAUCUCCUUCCCGCAACCAAAGCAAUUCUUUCCUUUUCGCCAUUACAGAGGGGCUUGAUCUAGGGUUCGAUAAUGGGCAAUCCAGAGGGCUUAGAAAGGUUUCCCCUAUCUUCCGCGGCCCCGCUACAUUCAUGUCUCUGUGCUGCAACCCAUAACUCAGAUUGGUGGUGAACUGAGCGAUGAGGAAGGAUCUACGUGGUGGUUGUACUAAGACCCAACAAUGGCCCUCUCAAUGCUAAUGAGUGGAUAGAGCAAUGAUGAAGGACCUACGUGGUGGUUGUUUUAAGACCCAACAAUGGCCCUCUCAAUGCUAAUGAGUGAAUAGGGCUGAGAUUGAACUUUAAUGUUGAACCAAUGGGCAGGAGGUAAUCGGAGUUGCCACUAAAUCAGCAGUGCUUCAGUCAAACGGGGAAUGGGGUUUCCGAGUUGCAUCUUAUCCAGUCUAUGCUUGUAGAUUUGAAAUCACUGAGGUCCUAGCUUCUUGAUCUUUCAUGCACGUCAAAGAAGGCCGAUACCAGCUACAUGGAGUUUGAUUAAGGGUGCUGAUUGAAUGCUAAGGUCAAUUGAAUUGUGUGCAUUGUUUGAGCAACUUUGUGAUCUUUGUGAAUUUGAGCCUGCGAAGAUGUUUGAUAGAAUGGCUAAUCUAGCCAAUAAUCUGGUAAUUAACCACCAAUGUGAUCCUACCGAAAAAUGGUUGGUAUUGAUUGGAAUCACUCCUGGUUCGGCUGAGAUUCAGUUAUUUGCUAGAUUGUAACAGUUCACCUCAUUUGCAGCACUACUCUGAAUUACAGGAUAUAAAACGUGUCAUUGUGAAUACUCAUGCAACCGAGCCACAGUUUCUUGUAGAGUUCUUUGGGACUCUUUUUGAGGACUAGGCACUGGAGUGCAUGAAGGACCUUCUGUUGGUUAACCGAAGAGGCAACCUCCAGAUAAUUCAACUGGGAGUUGAUGCAUGCACUAAAUGCUUUGAGCAGUUCAAGUCAUAUGAUGGGCUGUACUUUUUCCUUGGGUCAUAUUUGAGCUCCAGUGAGGAUCCUGACAUUCACUUCAAGUACAUUGAGGCUGCUGCAAAUUUGGACAAAUUAAGGAGGUUGAACGUGUGACAAGAGAAUCAAACUUCUACGACGCUGAAAAGACAGAGAACUUCUUUAUGGAAGCAAAGCUUCCAGAUGCACGACUACUUAUCAAUGUAUGCGAUUGUUUUGGGUUUGUUCUAGAUCUGACCCACUACCGUUAUAGGAACAAGAUGCUCCGCUACAUAGAAGGUUACGUUCAAAAGGUAAGAGUACUGUCAAGGGUCUUAGAUGCAUUUUUUGUCACUUGAAAAUUCGAACUCCUGCGAAGGCACAGUGCUGAACUCUUCUUGGAUUUCUUUGUAUAUGGUAACCUAGGAAAUGCUCCAUUUGUGGCUGGAUGAUGAGUGCGCUGAAGAUUUUAUUAAAGGCCUUAUUCUCUCUGUCUAUUCUCUGCUUUCAGUUGAACCACUGGAGUGUAAGAUCACCCUCCACUGUCCAGCUCCUCAUCUUCCCACCGUCGCAUCCCAUGGACGGCUUUCCCGGUAGCCCUUCCACUCUCCAUUGUCGCACCCCCAUCCGUCCACCGUCGCAACCCGUCUUCUCGUCCAAAAAAAUCAAUAUCGUGCGAAAACAUCAGAAAACAAAAGGAGGGCUAAAUAAAGGAAGUUAGUUGAGCUUGAAAGCCUUAAAUGAUCUGGUUUGUGACCUUCAUUGGCCAAUGAGGAGGGGAUUGGGUGUCUAGAAAGCUAAAUACAGAGUUCUCACUUGGGUAAGAGUAGUGCGCUCUCUCUCUCUCUCUCUCAUGUGCCAUUCUCCAGACCUGUGACCAAUAGCAAAAAAAUCGUUUGAAACUUAGUUGCACGAAGCGGGAGUAGGGGAGCGAGCGAAUAUAGAAGCUCCCAAGGUUGGGAGCGUGUACAUAUAUUAUGAAAAUAAUUCAGCAUAGAGUAUUCACUUUAAAAAGUACAAUAAUUUAGGAAGAAAAAAUUUGGUCCGAGUCCUCCAUAAGUGUAAGAAAUGGGCUAGUGGUACAAUAUAUGAUUUUCUUUUCAAGAUAUCAUGACUUAGGCUAGAUAUAUGAGUUCAUCAAAGACCAAUUAAUAAACACAAGUGAUAAAUCCCUGUUUUUCUAUACAAAUAUCAUACAAAAGCUCCCAUCUUUGUAAGAAACAAGCUCCCAUCUCUAUGAAAGCUACACCACUUUAGGAGCUCCCUACAAUUAAGGUUUGAAACGAUCAAUGGAGGCGGCCACCACCGCAGGUGAGUAUGAUUUUCGCGGGAGCUCUUGCUCUUGCAUCCAUACUCUCUCUCUCUCUAUUUUGGUCCGAUUUUUUAUUGGGAAACUUUCAAUUGUACAAGGGUGGCGAUAAUGCCACGACGUUUUUUUUAGAGCCAUGACAACUAACUAGAUUUCACAAUUCUACCCUUAAGUGGACACGAUCUAUCUCUCUCUCUCUCUCUCUCUCUCUCUCUCUCUCUCUCCUUCUUCUUCUUCUUCUUCUUCUCAUUGCUCUCAUAGCGGCACAAAAUCCAUUUCUCCUCCCUCUAUCAUUUAUCAAGUUUGGGUUUUGUGUUUGCGCAGGACAAACGGAAAUGCCUCACCAUCGUCAUCCUCGGCGUGGAGUUAACGGCAAGCCCAAUCACUGUCGACCCCUGGGCCCACCAGAAAGUUCUCGGGGUUUGGGAUUCCGACUCCAACAAAUCAAUGAAACUAUUACGUACCAACAAAUCGAGGAUUGUUUCUCCAUCAGCGUGAGUGUGCUGGAUAAGUAGACUGUGUAGCGGAGAAGAGAUGUAGAGAGGACUUCGUGGUUGAAGAAAUGGCCAAAUGAGUGAUUUGGGCAAUUACACGCUCGGAAAACGGUGUUGCAGAGCUGUUUCAGGGUGAUUCUCCUCCACCAUUACCCUGUUCUCUCACUCACACUCGAAACUGGUAUGUCUCUCUCUCUCACACACAAACUGAUUUGAAAUUGUGUAGUCCGUGGCUGUGCUAAAGUGCAUGGUCAAAAUAGUGAGAAGCAAAUGCUCACCAUCUGUUCGAUAAAAGUCCACAAUGGAAGGACUUGGUCAUCAUUGGCCUUAAUGACCUGAUCAUCUGACUCCAUUGACUUCAAUUAAUUUCAAACAGAUAGUUUAGCCGCAGCAUCUUUGCCAAAGAUAUCCACAGACACAGAUAUGUGUGAAACAAAUUGGCAUGGUUGUCCCAAUUUUGGCAUAUUUUUCCAAUUGAGUCACCUGAUUGGAGGAGUUUGUGCUUUGGGUUGGAGGGUAUUCUGGUCAUUUCGUUGGUUUUGGUGGCGGGCCACAGGCACUGUUUAGGGUAUUUACAAAUUACUUUAAUGGGUUUUCGGACUUUUAGCAUUUUCCAUCUGUGUCCAUUUUUAUAAGGUUAUUUUGUCUUCUUCUGUGAGGUCUUUUGAGGGUAUUUUGGAAAUAAGCAAAGCAUGCUCUGCAGAUUGUAGAGUUAAUGCCUUUCCACUUUUUGGGCGUCUCCUCUGAGUCUUCUCUCUCUCUCCCCCCAAACAAAAUUACGGAGUACCUCACAUGGCCACCAAAUUCGCCGCUUCGAACCAGGCUGCAAUGUCUUCGUCCUGCCCAUGAAGUAGACCCACACACACUCAUCAAUGGGCCUUUGUGGAAAAGCCUCCAACAUGCCUUUGUCUUCCCUCUCUCGCCUGUGUGUCACUGAGAGAGGGAGAAAGACAUAAGUAAAUCCCAAAACCCUAACCAACCUACAAAAGCAUGGAUGACGAAGUCGACAGAUGAUCGAUGAGAUUGUCGAUCAAGGCUAGGUUCUGAUCACCUUCAUCUAGAGAGAGAGAGAGAGAGAGAGAGAGAGAGGGAUUUUAUGGAGGCGAGCUGCUGUAGGUCGGGUUCUAUGGCCUAUAGUUUUAAGAUUUGACAGUGGUAUCGUCUCCAUCACUGACCACUGGCCAUAAUCUUUGCGCCACCGACGCCAGUCUUCUCAGCUAUUGGCUGCAACAGAUGUUGAUAUGGAAGAGGGGUUUUAGCUGCAUCCAGCCUUGGCCCAAAAAGCUGUGACUAUUAGAGAUUGAAAGGUUCGGUUUGCUUUUCAGUUAACAAUUUAAGAACUACUCUUAAAAGAGAUUACACUAAAAUUUGUAACUUUGUAAAUAGGGCUAUUUAGUUUAGAGAUUUAAGGAUUUUGGAUCUAAGUGCUUUAAGCAAAGGUUUUUUGUAUUUUGGCAUGAUUUGGGUGUAGGAAACAAUACUAAAACUCGGCAUUCUCUUCCAGCGUUUUCGAAAUUAUAUACAAUCAACUUUCUUUAGGAUGUGCAACCUCACAAUUAAGCAAUUUUUUCUACCAAAAAUGUUAGAAAUGUUUCUCCUUGUGAGUUUGAGUUUGUCGUUAGUGUGUGAAAUAUCAAAGGUAAACGACACCCAGGUACAUCAUAAAGCAGGAAUACCUUCAUUUCGUGGACUCAAACAAUAUAGCCUAGCCUUGUUUCUCUAAAUGUUUCUCCAAUCGGACAUAUAUAAUGUCACAACAAAGUAUUGCCUUGUUUCAUACCAUAGCCUUCGGUAGCCUUCGGUAAACUCCAUUUUAGUUGUUUCUCACCAGUGGAAUAUGUACUGAAAAUGCGCGAUCAUCAUCAAGGUACUAUAUCCUAUAAAACAUGCGAAUACCAAAGAGCUGCAAAUUUGAAUAUGCAUGGAUAUGAAUUAAUCACUAAAGCAGAGUUGAUAGAAGUGAAUAGAAUCCUUAAGACCUAUUACAGAGGUCCAAAGGAUGAGAGGAAAUGAACGCAUACACGUAUUUAUGAGGAACAUGUAUAUGUUGAACACCUAAGACAAUCGACAAUGGUUCUCUAUGAAGCAUGGGUACCGAUACCCUCCGGAUACGUAUCCGAUACAUUUUUUUAAAGUAUUUUGCUUUUAGAAUUUUUUAAAGUAUUUUGCUUUUAGAAUGUUUUUUUGGUAUCCUGAUACGUUUCGGAUACACUCGAGGGUAAAUAUGUUAUUACUUAAAAUAUAUGGGUUAAAAUUGGAAUUUGAACUACAUUUUUCUUUUUUCCCUACCAAUCGACACUAGAAACACACAGGCGAUCCUCUCUUUCGUCUCUCAUCUCUCUCGAAACCUUUUAAGUCUCUCUCUCUCUCGUUGUGUGUUUGAUAUAUGUAUAUAUAUAAGUAUAUAACUAUAUAGAUACAAUUAAUAUAUUAUAUCUCUCGGCAUGUGAAAUGGUAAAUUUGUGUAAUGGAAAAUUUUAAUCAUUAAUGGAACUUUAGAGAGAUAGAGAGAGAGAGAGGGAGAGAGAUACCUAUUCUGCGACCUUUGCCAUGACUGAUUGUGUGUGUGUGUGUGUGUGUGAGAGAGAGAGAGAGAGAGAGAGAGAGAGAGGCAGUCACACAGUAGAAGUAGAAGUAGAAGUAGAAUUGUUGCGUAGAAAAAUAAGGUUUCAAUGUGUGAAGCCCUAAACCACACAAGUACUUUAUUACCCCUUUACUUUUAUCUUUUUUUCUCCGCCCACCGGAGUACUUUUUUUUGCAAGUGUUUUUCCUUUUUCCUUUUUUUUUUUGAAUUGGAUGCCUAGAUGAGAGUUGUAUAAUAAUAGCUUAAUUUUUUGUUGUCUAAUGAAAGUUUAUGUUCUGAUGAAUUAGAUGUAAUGAGGAAAAAAAUGAACUCCUACAUUAGGAUUGUACAACAGGCGUAAUCAUUGGGGCGGAAUCAUUGGGGAUCUGACCUGGCCAUAUGCUCUGUAACCAUUUUAUUCCUUACGUUGUAUGUGACGUCACCCGAGGUGGUUACCCGAGCGUCUCCUCCACGUGCUAACUUGGAUGCCAAGCAAUUCAAGGUCUAUAAAUACAAAGGGAUAUUAACUUAAAGAGGUAUGUCAUUCUACCUUAACCCUAGAUCUAUACACUAUCCUCUACAUCUAACUUGAUCGUCGGAGGGUCACUGGGCAGCCGUCGCCCUAGUGACUUGUUGCAGGUCUGGCGUAAGGCGCACGGAGUAAUGUAGGAAGGAUUCUAACUCGGAUUACGGCUAAGAUCCCGUCAAAUCGAACCCCUACAUUAGGUAACUGUGGUUUUGUUGAAAAGAGCUCGAAUACAACAUCCCGAAAAAUUGGCAUUUCGAAAAGACUUUGAUUCAUGUAAUUGCUCAAUAUUUCCAUUAUGUCCAGACUCUUGAAUGUUUUUUGGAAGUUUUAGCUAGGUGUUUUUGCGGAUUUUCUAUGUUGCUUCCUUUCCUGGUUCUGGCUUGUUUUUCUCCAUCUUCACUUGUUUGGGCUCUAAAGGUAACGCCAUUGCAGCAUUGCCUUUUU